rnacentral:rRNA from 1 species
CAGUCGCCGCGGGAAUACAGAGGGUGCGAGCGUUAAUCGGAUUUACUGGGCGUAAAGCGUGCGUAGGCGGCUUUUUAAGUCGGAUGUGAAAUCCCUAAGCUUAACUUAGGAAUUGCAUUCGAUACUGGGAAGCUAGAGUAUGGGAGAGGAUGGUAGAAUUCCAGGUGUAGCGGUGAAAUGCGUAGAGAUCUGGAGGAAUACCGAUGGCGAAGGCAGCCAUCUGGCCUAAUACUGACGCUGAGGUACGAAAGCAUGGGGAGCAAACAGGAUUAGAUACCCCGGUAGUCCCUGUCUCUUAUAC